rnacentral:rRNA from 1 species
CCUACGGGAGGCAGCAGUGAGGAAUAUUGGUCAAUGGGCGGAAGCCUGAACCAGCCAAGUCGCGUGAGGGAAUAAGGCCCUACGGGUCGUAAACCUCUUUUGUCAGGGAGCAACGCCGGCUACGUGUAGCCGGACUGAGAGUACCUGAAGAAAAAGCAUCGUCUAACUCCGUGCCAGCAGCCGCGGUAAUACGGAGGAUGCGAGCGUUAUCCGGAUUUAUUGGGUUUAAAGGGUGCGUAGGCGGAAUGCCAAGUCAGCGGUAAAAUCGCGGGGCUCAACCUCGCUCCGCCGUUGAAACUGGUGUUCUUGAGUGGGCGAGAAGUAUGCGGAAUGCGUGGUGUAGCGGUGAAAUGCAUAGAUAUCACGAAGAACUCCGAUUGCGAAGGCAGCAUACCGGCGCCCAACUGACGCUGAAGCACGAAAGCGUGGGUAUCGAACAGGAUUAGAUACCCCAGUAGUC